CCUACGGGUGGCAGCAGUGAGGAAUAUUGGUCAAUGGACGAGAGUCUGAACCAGCCAAGUAGCGUGAAGGAUGACUGCCCUAUGGGUUGUAAACUUCUUUUAUAUGGGAAUAAAAUGUUCCACGUGUGGGAUUUUGUAUGUACCAUAUGAAUAAGGAUCGGCUAACUCCGUGCCAGCAGCCGCGGUAAUACGGAUGAUCCGAGCGUUAUCCGGAUUUAUUGGGUUUAAAGGGAGCGUAGGUGGAUUGUUAAGUCAGUUGUGAAAGUUUGCGGCUCAACCGUAAAAUUGCAGUUGAAACUGGCAGUCUUGAGUACAGUAGAGGUGGGCGGAAUUCGUGGUGUAGCGGUGAAAUGCUUAGAUAUCACGAAGAACUCCGAUUGCGAAGGCAGUUCACUGGACUGCAACUGACACUGAGGCUCGAAAGUGUGGGUAUCAAACAGGAUUAGAUACCCUUGUAGUC
rnacentral:rRNA from 1 species